GCGGACGUGGUGGAACUUGGCAGACACGCCAGCUUGAGGGGCUGGUGGGCGCAAGCCUGUGAGGGUUCGAGUCCCUCCGUCCGCACCA
rnacentral:tRNA from 1 species